rnacentral:snRNA from 1 species
CUAAUUCCCUGGUAGAGUAGAUACCAUGAUCAAGAAGGUGGUUUACAUCUAUUAUUGUACUUUGGGUCUGCUGACCCCCGUGAUUUCCUCAAAUAUGCGAACCUCAAUUGCAUGAUUUGUGGUAGCUGGGAACUGUGUUCUUCCCCAGC